rnacentral:rRNA from 1 species
CCCUGGCUCAGGAUGAACGCCGGCGGCGUGCUUAACACAUGCAAGUCGAACGAUGAAGCCCAGCUUGCUGGGUGGAUUAGUGGCGAACGGGUGAGUAACACGUGAGUAACCUGCCCUUAACUCUGGGAUAAGCCUGGGAAACUAGGUCUAAUACCGGAUAGGAGCGUCCACCGCAUGGUGGGUGUUGGAAAGAUUUAUCGGUUUUGGAUGGACUCGCGGCCUAUCAGCUUGUUGGUGAGGUAAUGGCUCACCAAGGCGACGACGGGUAGCCGGCCUGAGAGGGUGACCGGCCACACUGGGACUGAGACACGGCCCAGACUCCUACGGGAGGCAGCAGUGGGGAAUAUUGCACAAUGGGCGCAAGCCUGAUGCAGCGACGCCGCGUGAGGGAUGACGGCCUUCGGGUUGUAAACCUCUUUCAGUAGGGAAGAAGCGAAAGUGACGGUACCUGCAGAAGAAGC